rnacentral:rRNA from 1 species
UACGGAGGGGACUAGCGUUGUUCGGAAUUACUGGGCGUAAAGCGCACGUAGGCGGAUUGUUAAGUCAGGGGUGAAAUCCCGAGGCUCAACCUCGGAACUGCCUUUGAUACUGGCAAUCUCGAGUCCGGAAGAGGUGAGUGGAACUCCGAGUGUAGAGGUGAAAUUCGUAGAUAUUCGGAAGAACACCAGUGGCGAAGGCGGCUCACUGGUCCGGUACUGACGCUGAGGUGCGAAAGCGUGGGGAGCAAACAGG